UGGGUUUAAAGGGAGCGUAGGCUGGAGAUUAAGUGUGUUGUGAAAUGUAGACGCUCAACGUCUGACUUGCAGCGCAUACUGGUUUCCUUGAGUACGCACAACGUUGGCGGAAUUCGUCGUGUAGCGGUGAAAUGCUUAGAUAUGACGAAGAACUCCGAUUGCGAAGGCAGCUGACGGGAGUGCAACUGACGCUGAAGCUCGAAGGUGCGGGUAUCGAACAGGAUUAGAUACCCUGGUAGUCCGCACAGUAAACGAUGGAUGCCCGCUGUUGGUACCUGGUAUCAGCGGCUAAGCGAAAGCAUUAAGCAUCCCACCUGGGGAGUACGCCGGCAACGGUGAAACUCAAAGGAAUUGACGGGGGCCCGCACAAGCGGAGGAACAUGUGGUUUAAUUCGAUGAUACGCGAGGAACCUUACCCGGGCUUGAAUUGCAGAGGAAGGAUUUAGAGAUAAUGACGCCCUUCGGGGUCUCUGUGAAGGUGCUGCAUGGUUGUCGUCAGCUCGUGUCGUGAG
rnacentral:rRNA from 1 species